GUAAUUUCGCGUUCAGAUGUCAUCCCACCUCUAACUUCACCACUCCCCGCAUGGUGCCAUGAAGGCGGCCGCCGUCCUGUCGCCUCCCCUCGUCGCCGCCCCUCUCCGUGCUCCGCCGGCAUACUGCCUCGCCGCCCGUCCGCGCUCGCUCACCACCGCCAUCCCCUAGCCCCUGCAAAAAUUCCCCUUUCCGGCCGCCACUCCGGCACCGUGGUGGUGGGCAUCGGCGACUCAUGCCGGGCCGUGCAGAUACAUACGGGAUUCGCCGCCCAGGACGACGUGCUCAACCCGCGAGACGUGGAGCUCUCCAACGACCUCCAGUCUCCUCCGGUGACCGCCGGGGCGAGGCAGAUGAGUUGGCGACGGCUGUAGCCGUAGAGCGCGGCGUAGAAGCUGCAGGUGUACAUGUCCGCCGCAGGACUAGACGCCGGCGCUACACGUCGGAGGCAAAGCGCUCUCAGAUGGUGUCCUGGUGCGGCGCUGGCCCAAGGCAAAGGAGCCGGCGGGAGCCUCCAAGCACGGCGUCGAAGCUGCGGGUGGUCGGCACGCCGCGUGACCAGAUGCUGGUGCGACGUUUCGGAGGCACUGGUGGCGUUGAACAUGAUGGACAUGCGCAGUAAAUUAUAAAUUAUAAAGAAUCGUUGCUUGGCCAAGAUUUCCUUCACUGGCAAAGGGAGAAACAAAGUCCAUGAUACAGUUGUCCGGAGGACAGAAGACAGUGGUGGCACUAAACUGUUAUUUUUUUCAAUGAAUAGCUCCAUUCUACCUGUUCCAGAAGAUAGAUAUCGCUCUGCACUCUGGAUCCUCAGUAGCUACUUCUUUCUAAGCAAUUCUCAGUAGCUAGUUCACUUGGUUCAGUGUUUGGAAGUCAACACCAGUGUAAGCAACCUAGGCCUGGUGGGGUGCAACGUUCAUCAUCUGCUCAGCUGUUCUGUAGCUUUUCACAUAUUGGAAUUGCUGAUAAAAAAUGUGUGUAACUUUUACGAGAUACUUGUAGCCUGUUUGUUUAGAGUGUUGAGGGUCAGAAAUGUUCAACUCUAAAUUAUUGAACCUGUGUCGCCUGUCCUAUUUGUUCCAAGUGCUCACUUGUGCUUCAGAAGGUUAUAUUACAUCUUUUCACAUACAA